rnacentral:tRNA from 1 species
GCCUAGUUAGCUUAGUUGGUAGUGCGUCUGCCUUGUAAGCGCUAGGCCGCGGGUUCGAUUCCCGCCUUGGGCA